GUCCUUGUAGCGCAGUGGAUAGCGCGUUGGACUUCUGGUCCAAAGAUCGUUGGUUCGAAUCCCACCAGGGAUG
rnacentral:tRNA from 1 species